rnacentral:rRNA from 1 species
AGCGAACGCUGGCGGCAGGCCUAACACAUGCAAGUCGAACGAACUCUUCGGAGUUAGUUGCGUGCGGGUGAGUAACACGUGGGAACGUGCCUUUUGGUUCGGGAUACCUCAGGGAAACUUGUGCUAAUACCGAAUGUGCCCUUCGGGGGAAAGAUUUAUCGCCAUUAGAGCGGCCCGCGUCUGAUUAGCUAGUUGGUGAGGUAACGGCCCACCAAGGCGACGAUCAGUAGCUGGUCUGAGAGGAUGACCAGCCACACUGGGACUGAGACACGGCCCAGACUCCUACGGGAGGCAGCAGUGGGGAAUCUUGCGCAAUGGGCGAAAGCCUGACGCAGCCAGGCCGCGUGAAUGAUGAAGGUCUUAGGAUUGUAAAAUUCUUUCACCGGGGACGAUAAUGACGGUACCCGGAGAAGAAGCCCCGGCUAACUUCGUG